UCCGAGAUAGUUUAGUGGUUAGAAUUUGCGCUUGUCACGCGCGAGACCCGGGUUCAAUUCCCGGUCUUGGAG
rfam:Candida arabinofermentans NRRL YB-2248 unplaced genomic scaffold CANARscaffold_21, whole genome shotgun sequence.